rnacentral:rRNA from 1 species
AGAGUUUGAUCCUGGCUCAGGACGAACGCUGGCGGCGUGCCUAAUACAUGCAAGUGGAACGCACAGAUGAUACGUAGCUUGCUACAAUUAUCUGUGAGUCGCGAACGGGUGAGUAACGCGUAGGUAACCUAGCUUAUAGCGGGGGAUAACUAUUGGAAACGAUAGCUAAUACCGCAUAAAAGUGGUUGACCCAUGUUAACCAUUUAAAAGGAGCAACAGCUCCACUAUGAGAUGGACCUGCGUUGUAUUAGCUAGUUGGUAGGGUAAAGGCCUACCAAGGCGACGAUACAUAGCCGACCUGAGAGGGUGAACGGCCACACUGGGACUGAGACACGGCCCAGACUCCUACGGGAGGCAGCAGUAGGGAAUCUUCGGCAAUGGGGGGAACCCUGACCGAGCAACGCCGCGUGAGUGAAGAAGGUUUUCGGAUCGUAAAGCUCUGUUGUUAGAGAAGAACAGUGAUGGGAGUGGAAAGUCCAUCAUGUGACGGUAACUAACCAGAAAGGGACGGCUAACUACGUGCCAGCAGCCGCGGUAAUACGUAGGUCCCGAGCGUUGUCCGGAUUUAUUGGGCGUAAAGCGAGCGCAGGCGGUUUGAUAAGUCUGAAGUNGUUGCUUAGCUUAGAUCCACUUGGGGGAGUUUAGCUCAGCUGGGAGAGCAUCUGCCUUACAAGCAGAGGGUCAGCGGUUCGAUCCCGUUAACUCCCAUAAGUUAUGAAUAGGUCCCGUAGUGUAGCGGUUAUCACGUCGCCCUGUCACGGCGAAGAUCGCGGGUUCGAUUCCCGUCGGGACCGUAGGACUCGUUAGCUCAGUUGGUAGAGCAUUUGACUUUUAAUCAAAGGGUCACUGGUUCGAGCCCAGUACGGGUCAUAAAGGCGGGUUUGGCGGAAUUGGCAGACGCACCAGAUUUAGGAUCUGGCGCUUAACGGCGUGGGGGUUCAAGUCCCUUAACCCGCAUAGAUAGGCCGGCUUAGCUCAGUUGGUAGAGCAUCUGAUUUGUAAUCAGAGGGUCGCGUGUUCAAGUCAUGUAGCCGGCAUUGAUAGAGUUGCGAACGUAGUUCAGUGGUAGAACACCACCUUGCCAAGGUGGGGGUCGCGGGUUCGAAUCCCGUCGUU